rnacentral:rRNA from 1 species
GGGUUGUGAGGUUAAGCGACUAAGCGUACACGGUGGAUGCCCUGGCAGUCAGAGGCGAUGAAGGACGUGCUAAUCUGCGAUAAGCGUCGGUAAGGUGAUAUGAACCGUUAUAACCGGCGAUUUCCGAAUGGGGAAACCCAGUGUGAUUCGUCACACUAUCAUUAACUGAAUCCAUAGGUUAAUGAGGCGAACCGGGGGAACUGAAACAUCUAAGUACCCCGAGGAAAAGAAAUCAACCGAGAUUCCCCCAGUAGCGGCGAGCGAACGGGGAGGAGCCCAGAGCCUGAAUCAGUGUGUGUGUUAGUGGAAGCGUCUGGAAAGGCGCGCGAUACAGGGUGACAGCCCCGUACACAAAAAUGCACAUGCUGUGAGCUCGAUGAGUAGGGCGGGACACGUGGUAUCCUGUCUGAAUAUGGGGGGACCAUCCUCCAAGGCUAAAUACUCCUGACUGACCGAUAGUGAACCAGUACCGUGAGGGAAAGGCGAAAAGAACCCCGGCGAGGGGAGUGAAAAAGAACCUGAAACCGUGUACGUACAAGCAGUGGGAGCCUCUUAAUGGGGUGACUGCGUACCUUUUGUAUAAUGGGUCAGCGACUUAUAUUCUGUAGCAAGGUUAACCGAAUAGGGGAGCCGAAGGGAAACCGAGUCUUAACUGGGCGUUAAGUUGCAGGGUAUAGACCCGAAACCCGGUGAUCUAGCCAUGGGCAGGUUGAAGGUUGGGUAACACUAACUGGAGGACCGAACCGACUAAUGUUGAAAAAUUAGCGGAUGACUUGUGGCUGGGGGUGAAAGGCCAAUCAAACCGGGAGAUAGCUGGUUCUCCCCGAAAGCUAUUUAGGUAGCGCCUCGUGAAUUCAUCUCCGGGGGUAGAGCACUGUUUCGGCAAGGGGGUCAUCCCGACUUACCAACCCGAUGCAAACUGCGAAUACCGGAGAAUGUUAUCACGGGAGACACACGGCGGGUGCUAACGUCCGUCGUGAAGAGGGAAACAACCCAGACCGCCAGCUAAGGUCCCAAAGUCAUGGUUAAGUGGGAAACGAUGUGGGAAGGCCCAGACAGCCAGGAUGUUGGCUUAGAAGCAGCCAUCAUUUAAAGAAAGCGUAAUAGCUCACUGGUCGAGUCGGCCUGCGCGGAAGAUGUAACGGGGCUAAACCAUGCACCGAAGCUGCGGCAGCGACACUAUGUGUUGUUGGGUAGGGGAGCGUUCUGUAAGCCUGCGAAGGUGUACUGUGAGGUAUGCUGGAGGUAUCAGAAGUGCGAAUGCUGACAUAAGUAACGAUAAAGCGGGUGAAAAGCCCGCUCGCCGGAAGACCAAGGGUUCCUGUCCAACGUUAAUCGGGGCAGGGUGAGUCGACCCCUAAGGCGAGGCCGAAAGGCGUAGUCGAUGGGAAACAGGUUAAUAUUCCUGUACUUGGUGUUACUGCGAAGGGGGGACGGAGAAGGCUAUGUUGGCCGGGCGACGGUUGUCCCGGUUUAAGCGUGUAGGCUGGUUUUCCAGGCAAAUCCGGAAAAUCAAGGCUGAGGCGUGAUGACGAGGCACUACGGUGCUGAAGCAACAAAUGCCCUGCUUCCAGGAAAAGCCUCUAAGCAUCAGGUAACAUCAAAUCGUACCCCAAACCGACACAGGUGGUCAGGUAGAGAAUACCAAGGCGCUUGAGAGAACUCGGGUGAAGGAACUAGGCAAAAUGGUGCCGUAACUUCGGGAGAAGGCACGCUGAUAUGUAGGUGAAGUCCCUCGCGGAUGGAGCUGAAAUCAGUCGAAGAUACCAGCUGGCUGCAACUGUUUAUUAAAAACACAGCACUGUGCAAACACGAAAGUGGACGUAUACGGUGUGACGCCUGCCCGGUGCCGGAAGGUUAAUUGAUGGGGUUAGCGCAAGCGAAGCUCUUGAUCGAAGCCCCGGUAAACGGCGGCCGUAACUAUAACGGUCCUAAGGUAGCGAAAUUCCUUGUCGGGUAAGUUCCGACCUGCACGAAUGGCGUAAUGAUGGCCAGGCUGUCUCCACCCGAGACUCAGUGAAAUUGAACUCGCUGUGAAGAUGCAGUGUACCCGCGGCAAGACGGAAAGACCCCGUGAACCUUUACUAUAGCUUGACACUGAACAUUGAGCCUUGAUGUGUAGGAUAGGUGGGAGGCUUUGAAGUGUGGACGCCAGUCUGCAUGGAGCCGACCUUGAAAUACCACCCUUUAAUGUUUGAUGUUCUAACGUUGGCCCCUGAUCGGGGUUGCGGACAGUGUCUGGUGGGUAGUUUGACUGGGGCGGUCUCCUCCUAAAGAGUAACGGAGGAGCACGAAGGUUGGCUAAUCCUGGUCGGACAUCAGGAGGUUAGUGCAAUGGCAUAAGCCAGCUUGACUGCGAGCGUGACGGCGCGAGCAGGUGCGAAAGCAGGUCAUAGUGAUCCGGUGGUUCUGAAUGGAAGGGCCAUCGCUCAACGGAUAAAAGGUACUCCGGGGAUAACAGGCUGAUACCGCCCAAGAGUUCAUAUCGACGGCGGUGUUUGGCACCUCGAUGUCGGCUCAUCACAUCCUGGGGCUGAAGUAGGUCCCAAGGGUAUGGCUGUUCGCCAUUUAAAGUGGUACGCGAGCUGGGUUUAGAACGUCGUGAGACAGUUCGGUCCCUAUCUGCCGUGGGCGCUGGAGAACUGAGGGGGGCUGCUCCUAGUACGAGAGGACCGGAGUGGACGCAUCACUGGUGUUCGGGUUGUCAUGCCAAUGGCACUGCCCGGUAGCUAAAUGCGGAAGAGAUAAGUGCUGAAAGCAUCUAAGCACGAAACUUGCCCCGAGAUGAGUUCUCCCUGACUCCCUGAGAGUCCUGAAGGAACGUUGAAGACGACGACGUUGAUAGGCCGGGUGUGUAAGCGCAGCGAUGCGUUGAGCUAACCGGUACUAAUGAACCGUGAGGCUUAACCUUACAACGCCGAAGCUGUU